UUUUUUUUUUUUUUUUUUUUUUUUCUUUUUACGGCCGUACCUGCGGCAUAUGGAAGGUCCCGGGAUAGGGGUUGAAUCAGAGCUGCGGCUGCCGGCCUAUGCCGCAGCCGUGGCUACACUGGAUCCCAAUCACAUCUGCAACCUACACCCCAGCUUGCAGCCAUGCCAGAGCCUUAACCCACUGAAUGAGGCCAGGGAUCAAACCAGCAUCCUCGGGGACACUGUGUCAGGUUCUUAACCCCCUGAGCCACAACAGGAUCUCCUAGACACAGAGAUUCUAAAAGCAGGCUUCAAAUCAUGGCUCCAAUCCUGCUACACAUUAGCUGUUACCGUGGACAGUCACUUACUUUCCUGCCUCAGUCUUCCCAUCAGUAAAGUGGGGAGAUUAACACUGUUGUAAGAAUUAAAUGCAUGGAUUGGAUAUGAGGCAGAGUGCAGAUCACAGGGGGAGCUAUUUACAUGUGAGCUGAUAGGAUUCUGCAGAUGAGGACAUCAAGGAAGGAAGCAACGAACGUCACUUUGCAGAGACAGGGCUCCUGCAUGGAUCCUUAAACGCCAAAGCUGGAAAUUUAAGAAAUGAAGCGACGCGUACCACUGGGCUUUUCCAACGGGAAAGCACUCAACACCUUCACUCUCAGCCCACAUUUCCUGAUCCCCUGCAGGCUAGAGGCCCAGCACUCAUGUGCCUACUCAGGGCUCAGGGCCCAGCUGGAUACUCAUAAGCAGCGCUUAGUAAGCACCUACGAUAGGCUGGUUCUGGGGGAAGCUGUUAAUGCACAAAAUCUCUUUCAAGAAUACUACUUACUUACUACCUGAUUUUACAGAUGAGCAAACUAAGAGUCAAGACGGCAAUUUCCCCAGGGAGAUCUGAGACUUUUACAGGUGCAGGUAGACCUCAAACUGAGAAAAGACUGCACUCUUAUCAUUAUGCUCUUUGUCUAUGCUUCUCUCUCAGGUGAGCGACUAUCUGUGGCUUUGGGUGGCCUCUGCUACCAAGUAUUAGGAUGACUCGAAAAGCCAGGCAGAGCCCCCGGCUCUAAAAAGCCCAGGCCCUGGGUCUAAGCCAUAAUGAAUGAAUAAAUCUUGCUGAUGAAAUGGGUCCCACUCCUGGCAGAGGGACCUACCUGCCUGCGGGCUGGAAUGUGAAACAGGCAGCAGUGUGGGAAGAUCGCAGCUGGAGGCUGAUCCUCUUCCACUGCAAUCAGUUUAUCUGUUUCAGAACGGCUUAUCCUGGCGGGGGUAUCUAAGCUGAGGGCCAUUGUAAACACACCUCCACUGGAGGAGGUGCCCUGCAUUCCUACAUUCCAUGAAGAAAAGCCUGGGAAGCACAGAUGGGAAGAGGGCGAAAUCCCACCUGGGCAGGUCAAGAUCGCCUGGCAGAGAGCAGUGAUCCAGCCGGAGGGACUGUGCACCUGCCUGGAAUCCAGGGCCCACGUCGAGAACAGGUAACCUGACCCAGGCCUCUUUCCCAAUCCCACCCAUCCCACCGCCAAGGGGCAGCCUUCUCUGAGUCAUGACCCUCAGGGCAUCUGUUUGGACCCCAGCAUCAGGCUGCGGCAGGUAGAAGAGAUCCUUAAAGGCCCACAGGGAACAAUGCUAAAGACAGGGAGCGCUUACUCACUCAGAGCUGUUAUCACCCCCGCCUUGUGAGUUAAUCAAGGUGCCCUAUCUCAUUUAAACUUCCAAAUGACGCAAUGAUGCAGACCUUUCAUCCCGGUUCCUGCUGAGGAAACAGGCCAAGUUAAGUUCACUGCACAAAGGACUAAGUCACAGAACGGGGCAAAGGGAAGAGUGAAUCCGUGGCCAUCCCGUUCCAGGACUCCUGCUCCAACAGCAUGUCGUUUCAGAUUACCGAUGAGGGUCAACAGUCCCCGGCCAAAGGUGCCCCUUCUGAUGCUGAGAGUCCAGGAGCCCAAGAAAACCCCAAAGAAGCCUUGAGUCCUAUCGCCUAAGCCCGAAACGCCGGCACAUGCGACCAGGUGUAUAAGAACGCUCACGGCAGCUCUGUCUGUCCUUGGGGUGUGGGGGGGUUAAAAAAUAACAGUAAUAAAAACUGCCCACAACUCACAUGUCUUUGGAGAGCUGAUAAAUACACGGUGGGCUGUUCACACAAUGGAAAGGGUGACUGCAGUGAGAAAGAGACCACAGAGCCAGGCAUCCACACGCACUGAGCAUCUAUCGAGGAGAAAAGCAAGCUGCACACGGUGCAAACGUUUGUCAAACUCGAGUGGAAAAAGUAAGCCACAUCAUACUGAGGGGAAAGCAUUUUUAAGCAAGGACAUCAUAAACACCAAAACUCAGAAUAAGCAUUAGUUCUGAGGGAGAACACCAGGGGGGGGUAUAGUUGGGGGACACUAGAAAAAAAGAUGCAAUUCGACCUUGGGUCACAUUGGGGUUCCUACACAGGGUGGGGGGCGGACGGGAGGUGGUUUGCGACGACGCUUGUGAUGCCAUCUUCUUUCGUAGAGAACAAGAGCCCACCAGGGACUAACUGUUGAAGCUACAGGAAACUCGCUCCCCAUUUCUGUGACACCAAAAAUGUCUGCUGGUCAUUUGUUGGGUGGGAAGCACAACUCCCAAAGAGGACUCUGACAGGCACGUGGUAAGUCGGAAUGCUGGUGAGUCUCUGCCAGGGUCCAGGUUGCUGAGAGCUCCCCUCCACUGCUGGGAAAUGGGGUGAGAGUAUCCUCCUGACAAAGCUGCUGACAAGAUGAACGAGAGCGCUGGACGGAGAUCUCAACCCAGGGCAGACACUGGCCACUGGAAUUCAAAGCACAGACAUUCUGGUAGAGCACGUGGUUGGGACACAGGCUCUGCCACUGCCAGCUGGAUGGCCCUGGCUAAGCUUGGCACAACUGUAUGCAGCUCCCACCAAGAGCACAGCAAUAGAAGAAAAAAUAAAUAAGACCGACUUCAUCAAAAUGAAACGCCCCUGUGCAUCCACGGACACUUUCAAGAGAGUGAAAAGCCAACCCAAAGAAUGAGAGAGAAAUACCUAUAAAUCGCCUACCUGAAAAGGGAUUCAUAUCCAGAAACUAUAAAGACCUCCUACAAGUCAACGUCAACCAAAAACAUUUCUCCAAAGAAGAUGUACAAGUGGCCAACAAGUACCUUAAAAGAUGCUCAGCAUCACUCAUCAUUAGGGAAACACAAAUCACAACCACCAGGAGUUACCACUUAACAUACUUAUUAGGAUGGCUAUCCUAAAAUUUAAAAAAGAGACAGACUGUGACAAGUGUUGGCAAGGAUGUGGAGAUUCAGGAACCCUUCUGCAUGGCUGGUGGGAACAGAAAAGGGUGCAGCUGCUGUGGAAAACGGGGUGCAGUUUCCUCCCCCUCGAAUGUGCAUCAUAAUCCCCACCUCACAGGUUUGGAUGCUGGUCCAGGGACCUAGAAGUUUUCCUCCAUCCGGAGUUUCUCUGUCAAUCUGUUCAUCAUCCUCCCACCCUCACUCUCACUCACCACCACCGAUUUCUAUGUAAAACUAAAACAGGUCAUGACAGAAAAAAAACAAAACCUGUAAGCCCUUUUACUAUAACUCACAUCACCUAAGACAACUACUUUCACUUUUCCCUUUGCUCUCUCAACCUCUAUCCAGAGACCGUCUCAUUUAGAACCUGAGAUGUGGGGUUCUAAUAGCUCAAACUUGCAGCCAAGGUCAAAACCGUCCUGCCCUUUGGGGACGCGAAGAAGAGGGGGGUGGGCAAGUGGGGAGUGGGAAUAAAGAGAAAUUUCAUCUAGGGAAAAGGAUUCAUUUAUGCUUCCUGGGUAUCUGGAGUUAACAGACUGGUUAAUGGAUUGUUUCCAAACCCAAUCCUUGUCCUCUGACCUGGGUUCCAACCUACCUUUUAAGAGUUGUGUCACCUUGGGCUAGUCAAUUAACCUCUUGGAGCCUCAGUCUGUCCCAUCUGAAAAAUGGGGUUGCUGAUGGUUCCUAUCCCAUAGGGAAGUGCUGAGCAGGGGUCAUGAACUGAACGGAAGCCCUGGGCACUCUGCCCAUCACACAGUGGGCUCUCACAGAACACAGCAGCGAUUGCUAAUCAUCAUACCAUCGUUAGCACUGCAAAGCCUUAAAUCAGCCAGAGACAGGAAAUAGCAUUCCCAUUCAGAGAUAAGAGACGGGGCAAGAGACAGCAGUCCUUCUUUCCCUAACAGCCAAACCCACCUCCUUCUGCCGCCCACCAGCCCUGUCCAGUACCCUCUCUCCAGGCUCACCUCCUCUAAAAGAAGCCUUCUGGACCAGCGGGCCUCAGUUAUCCGACCCUCAUGGACCCAUCUAAGGCACCUGCCCUCUGAAGCCAUCACUUGUCAUCAGCUGCUUCAUCUCCUGAGUUCCAGCAUCACCUGCCCAUCAUCGUCUGUGUCCCUGCACUAGACUGGGGUGGGGGGGUGCCUCAGAGGGACCCCCAAGUGUGACUGCGAGCCCUGGCACAGCGCCAGGGAGUGAAGACACCCAGUAAAUCCUGGGUGACUGAACAUCACUGUUACUUUAACUGUGAUUUUUCCCUAUAAUUAGUUCAGUUAGUCUUUACAGGACUUCAUACGGCAAAGUUAUCAACAAUGGCAUGGCAUCAGGGCUUCGUCUCUCUAGGAUGUCGUUUUAUCACAGCUCUGAACAACGCUAAAUAAAGACGAUGCUAAAAAUAAAUAAAUAAAUAAAUAAAUAAAUAAAUAAAAAAGAACGAUGCUGCACUAUAACCAAAGCUGCGCUAAUGCUAUACCAUCUUUGCCAGUGGUCUUACUCUUGCUCUUCGUCUCUCAAGGGCAAGGAUGGAUCUUUCAGACUCGUAAAACCGCAGUUCCCUUUGACUUCCCCAGAGCCUUGCUCGGUUGCAGGCACGCAAGUAAGCCCCUAUCAUCCCCAAGCACAUCCUUAGUGAAAGUUUUGCCUCCACAACUCAAAGAUGAAAAGAUGGGAAACAAUGCACAAAACAGGGUGAGGCUUUGCUUCCUCCUGCCUUUGCUCCUUUAAGCAACUUUGCCUUGAUGGCGCACCCUAUACGAAGAGGAAUCUGAAAAUCAUGCAUUUUCCCCUGAUGGAAACCAGCCAAGGCUCACCAACUUGGAGGUCGAAAGGCAGUGAACUGGCCAGAAACCACCACUGCUUGAGAACAGCCUUAACAGCCCAGCAAGAUACAAAAGAUCUGAGGUCUGGCUUCCUCAAAAAGAAAAAAGAAAAAAAAAAAAAAAAA
rnacentral:lncRNA from 9 species